UACGUAGGGGGCAAGCGUUGUCCGGAUUUAUUGGGCGUAAAGAGCGUGUAGGCGGCCAUACAGGUCCGUUGUGAAAACUGGAGGCUUAACCUCCAGACGUCGAUGGAAACCGUAUGGCUAGAGUCCGGAAGAGGAGAGUGGAAUUCCUGGUGUAGCGGUGAAAUGCGCAGAUAUCAGGAAGAACACCUGUGGCGAAAGCGGCUCACUGGACCACAACUGACGCUGAGGCGCGAAAGCGUGGGGAGCGAACAGG
rnacentral:rRNA from 1 species